GCCGGCUCCUCCAUCUCUCUCUCUCUCUCUCUCUCUCUCUCUCACACACACACACACAGAGAGAGAGAGAGAGAGAGAGAGAGAGAGAUUAGCAGAUUAU